GGAGGAUGUUGGGGGUGGGGGGAGUUGAUCAUGGGAGAUUACCACACAAGUACAGUAAACAAGAGUCAGGUUAUUAUGCAGACUUGAGUCCUUGCCUUCCACAUUGCUAAGUUUCUAGAGAUAAGAUCAUCCCUCCUUCCUGGCACAGAGAAGGAGACACCUUUACAGAUGGAGAUUUCCUUUACAAUGUAAAUGUCUCUUAACAAAAGGCAGAAAUGACUGAAAGAUCUGGAGAAAUCUCCAGAGACGAAGCCAAGGAGGGAAGGAAGCCAAGGACCCGGGCCAUCCACAAAUUAGAUCAUUAGCUCCAGGAUAACUGAGAAUAACUGACUGUGUGACUAUGGCCAGAAAGUCCAGAAAGAGAUGAAAAGGCAAAGGAAAUGACAUGUGAGUAACAGUAUUUACAGGGCCUGUCACUGUCAUUCUCUCAACAAACAUCAUUGAGCACCUACUGUAUGCCAGGUACUUUCAACAAAGAGGAUGGCUACAGCAAUGAACAACCCAGGCAAGACUGCUACUCUCAUGUAGAUGACCUUCCUGAACAGUGCAGACAAACAACAAACAAGAACACAAACACAUAAACAAGAUAACUUCAGGUAGCACUAAGCUCUGUGAAGUCCAUAAACACAGGAAUGUGAUAGAGCCCUGGGGAGAGGAUGCUGCUGUAGAUAAGGUCGCCCAGAAAGGCAUCUCAGAGUAUCUGAGCUGCAACCUGCAAGAGGAGCCCACCCUGUGGAGGUCUGCUAACCAGAGAAUGGAAUGAGUGAAUGCACCAAGUAUGCUAGAGGGAGGGGGCUCCAGGCCAGCCACAGGGGGUCCAGGCCAGGCACAGUUCUGUGGCUAUUCACAUUGUGUUCUUUAGAGAUAUUGCUAAAACCUCUCUAGGACCACUGAAUUACUGCCUCUACAAUGGGGGUUGCUCAUACUGAUCACUGUGACAGGUACUGUGAGGAAUAAUGGGUUGUCAUGAGGAGCUACAUAAAUGCUGACUAAUGAUCACAAGAACCUUUCAUUCAAGUCAGCACCGUGAUAGGCAGAUCACACUUAGAUGCCUCAGCAAGUGUGGAAAUUAACAUGACUGCUCACUGUGCACACCAGCACCAUCCUUUGAAACAGAAAAAAUAAAUGAGCCGAUGGUCCUGAUAUUCAAAGUGGUUAGUGAUCAACUAACUGGAGAGAAAGCUGGUGUGUGAAGUGUAAAAUGGGAGCAGGAAGAUAAUGGCACAUCACAGCCCAGCACAGGCAGAGGGUAACUAGUGAAUCAACUGGAUGCUUGCUGCUGCACGUGUCCUCUGCUACAGAGUGGUCAUUCUAACCUCAUCAGGAAGAGGUGCUGUCAAGAAAAGCCUGGCAGAGGGGAAGUGGGGUGAGAAGGAGCCAGAUCAGCAGCAUCUCUGGCAGCAGCCCCUUCUGGCCCACUUGGCCUUGGUAAGCCUCCCUGGGGGAAGGACUGAGCAGUCCCACCUCACAAGGGCACCAAGGAAGUGGGGAGGGAGAAAGGGGGGAUGAGCAUUGCAUUGUCUCCUUUCUGGCAUGAAACAUCCCAAUGCCAUCAGAGACUUCAGUUGUCUUCACAGCUGAGCCUCCCAACACAGAGAUAUGAAUCCAACCCAUAAUUUCAGAGGAGUGUUUUUCAAACUGCAGGUCCUGACCCAUGACUGGAUUGUGACAAGCACUUAAUAAACAAUGAAAUAAAAUGGAAUAAAUAAUAUUAGAGUACAUCACAUGUAAUAAAGGGAAGUAAAAUUUCAUAAAA
ensembl:lncRNA